rnacentral:rRNA from 1 species
GACGAACGCUGGCGGCGUGCUUAAUAUAUGCAAGUCGAACCGCCAGGCCCUGCUUUUGUGGGGUGCUCGAGUGGCGAACGGGUGAGUAACACGUGAGUCUCCUGCUCUUGACUUUGGGAUAACUUCAGGAAACUGGGGUUUAAACCGGAUAGGAGUCCCUCCCACAUCUUGGGGGCUGGCAAGUUUCCGCGGUUGGGGAUGAACUCGCGGCUUAUUAACGUGUUGGUGGGGUAGUGGCAUACCAAGGUUUUGACGGGUAGUCUGCAAGCGCGGGUGACCGGCGACAUUGAAACUGAGAGGCGGCCCAGACUCAUACGGAAAGCAGCAGUGGGGAAUAUUGCAUGAUGGACGGAAUGCGGUUGCAGCAACUCCGCGUGCGGGAUAACGGCCUUCGGGUGGUGAACCGCUAUCGCCUGUGACGAAGCGUGAGUGACGGUAAUGGGUAAAGAAGCACCAGCUAGGGACGGG